GAUGAACGCUGGCGGCGUGCCUAAUACAUGCAAGUCGAGCGAACAGACGAGGAGCUUGCUCCUCUGACGUUAGCGGCGGACGGGUGAGUAACGCGUGGAUAACCUACCUAUAAGACUGGGAUAACUUCGGGAAACCGGAGCUAAUACCGGAUAAUAUAUUGAACCGCAUGGUUCAAUAGUGAAAGACGGUUUUGCUGUCACUUAUAGAUGGAUCCGCGCCGCAUUAGCUAGUUGGUAAGGUAACGGCUUACCAAGGCAACGAUGCGUAGCCGACCUGAGAGGGUGAUCGGCCACACUGGAACUGAGACACGGUCCAGACUCCUACGGGAGGCAGCAGUAGGGAAUCUUCCGCAAUGGGCGAAAGCCUGACGGAGCAACGCCGCGUGAGUGAUGAAGGUCUUCGGAUCGCAAAACUCUGUUAUUAGGGAAGAACAAAUGUGUAAGUAACUAUGCACGUCUUGACGGUACCUAAUCAGAAAGCCACGGCUAACUACGUG
rnacentral:rRNA from 1 species